rnacentral:rRNA from 1 species
UACGUAGGGUGCGAGCGUUAAUCGGAAUUACUGGGCGUAAAGCGUGCGCAGGCGGUUCGCCAAGUCAGGUGUGAAAUCCCCGGGCUCAACCUGGGAAUUGCGCUUGAAACUAGCGAGCUUGAGUGUGGCAGAGGGGGGUGGAAUUCCGCGUGUAGCAGUGAAAUGCGUAGAGAUGUGGAGGAACACCGAUGGCGAAGGCAGCCCCCUGGGUCAACACUGACGCUCAUGCACGAAAGCGUGGGGAGCAAACAGG